rnacentral:rRNA from 1 species
AACCAGCACCUCAAGUGGUCAGGAGGAUUAUUGGGCCUAAAGCAUCCGUAGCCUGUUCUAUAAGUUUGCGGUUAAAUCUAUACGCUCAACGUAUAGGCUGCCGUAAAUACUGUAGAACUAGGGAGUGGGAGAGGUAGACGGUACCCGAUAGGAAGGGGUAAAAUCCUUUGAUCUAUUGAUGACCACCUGUGGCGAAGGCGCUCUGCUGGGCCAUCACUGACGCCCAUGGACGAAAGCCAGGGGAGCGAAAGGG